AAAAAAGUUGUAUACCAGAUAGCUUUAUGCCUUUGCAUAGUUUCAGAGGAUUUUAUUUGUGGCCCAUUUAAACCAGUAUCAUUUACAUGCAUUUUAGUACCCUACAUACAUUUGACAUAUGGAGUUAUUUCCCUUUGAAAAUUACAUAUAGGUAGUAGUGCACGAAAAUAACUUUCUUCUUUUCUGUUUCCCGAUCUGGUAAUAGAAGAUAAGUUUUGUUGAAAUUGACAGUCACUAUAAAUUAACAAUUAAGGGGAGAUAACUCCGUAAUUUUCUUUCAUUCUAAUUUACCAAAACUUAUAAUCUCAAGUUGUUUUGAAAUACCAGACACACAGAAACGAAAGGCAUACUAUUUCCAGCUUAGGGUGAUAGUUCUUCAAAAUAGCAAAAUAACCAUUCAUUAUUUGAAUUGCCUGAUCCCGACAAAGACUGGCACUUCAACAGUAUUUAGUUUAGUGCAAGUGUUUUAAAAAGUAAAGUUUACAUGAACAAGCUCAUCCUAUUUUCAACAUUUAUCAUAGCUUUUUCUUAAUUAAAUUUACCAGUAUACAUGUACUUUUUAUAGAAAAAUAAAUUAUAGAGCAAUAUACAUGAUCAUGAUGAUAGAAUCCUU
rnacentral:lncRNA from 1 species